UUGUUGCUACCUCAAUUUCUGAUGCUUUGAGGGAUUAUUAAAGUAUAUGACUCAAUUUGCUAUUGUAUGGAUAAUCCACAUACCACUACCAUGUUUUGUCAGUGUGUUCUUCCAUCUCUUCCCUCAUGACUAACUUAAUUCAAUUCAAUAACUUUUUACAAUGUAAGUCCUAGUCAUUUUCAGCAACUUUUUGCAAUGUAAGUCUAGUCCUUUUAUAGAACUUGGGAUACUCAUGACCCUUUCCUGCUGCUUAUGGGUAGGUUUCACCUGCUCUGUUUUGUUUACAUUUUUUUUGUGUGUGUUUGUUAUGUUUUAUUUAGUGGCUGUUAUUCAGCAUUAGCACUGUGGAAGAGGGCUGUUAUGAUCAAUAACAAUCAGCUAUUCAUAUCAUUAUAUGUAAUCUUUGAGUACUUGACUCUGAUUGAAAACCUGUUUCUCUUCAUGCUUGUAAGUAUUUCUUUUAUAUGUCCUGAAUGUGCGGGUUGGGUUGAGGGUGCAUUACUUCUAACUGUAGGUAGAUGAUUAAUAUGCAGGUAAGCGUUAAUGUGUUAAUAGAUUUUUUGUGUGUGUUCUAAAAAGAGAGAGUAUGUCUUAGAUGUAUUUGUCAGAAAAAAAGUUAGUAUAAGAUUUUACAGUUUAGCACAAAUAAUAUACCCAGAGCUAACUUGUGUCGGGUUCAAAAAGCCUUCUAGUUAUUACCAAAAAGAUUACAUUAGAAUUUUGACCCUUCAAAAAUAUAGUCCUUAGGUGAUAGAGCCUUUCUCCUCCCAGUUGAUGAAGUAUCACUCCACGAAACAUGCCUUUGGGGUCUAGUUGUGUGGCCUGUAUUAAUGAAGUACAGUAAACCCCCACUUAACAUUAUCAGUAGGUUCUUGGAAACUGUGACUUUAAGUGAAACAACAUACAGCUGGUCCUCAAAUAAUACCAUUUUAUUCAAUGUUGUUUUGUUUUAAAGUUGAUGAGGGAAAAAAAUGAUUUUGUGUAUUGUUUCACUUAAAAUUGUACUUUCCAAGAACCUAUUGAAGCCGUUAAGUGAGGACUUAGUGUAUGACUGUAUGCAUCCCCUCAAAUACAUACUGUGAUUGGUUUUUCUGCCUUAAGUAAAAGCCAGUCAAACCACAAUCAUAACCAGGUUGGUAAAAUAUAGCUCAUAGCAGUGGUUUUUCUAUGUUAAGUGGACAUCAUAAUCACCUGGAGAGCUUUAAAAAGUCCUGAUCUCUGAGUCUGUUAAGUCAGAAUAUCUGGGGUUGGAACCAGGUGUUUGUUUGUUUGUUUCUUGUUGUUAUUGUUUUUUUUUUUAAGUUCACAAGUUAUUCUACUGUGAAACCAAGGUUGAGAGCCACUGACUGAAAGCAGUUCUACCAAAUUACAAACUGUGGAAGGUCCACAUACCUUCAGUAGCCUCUCUUGGUUGCAUCAUGACACCAUUUUCAGUAUUGCCAAAAUUAUAUUCCUGUCUGCAAGUGUCCUCAGGCAAUCUAUAGUAAAAAAUUAUGUCUCCAA
rnacentral:lncRNA from 1 species